GACGAACGCUGGCGGCGUGCUUAACACAUGCAAGUCGAGCGGUAAGGCCCUUUCGGGGUACGACGAGCGGCGAACGGGUGAGUAACACGUGGGUGACCUGCCUUUAGUCUCUGGGAGUAAGCCUGGGAAACGUGGGUCUAAUACCGGAUAUGACCCUAUGGCGCAUGUUGUGGGGUGGAAAGCCUUGUGCGGCUAGGGAUGGGCCCGCGGCCUAUCAGCUUGUUGGUGGGGUGAUGGCCUACCAAGGCGACGACGGGUAGCCGGCCUGAGAGGGCGACCGGCCACACUGGGACUGAGACACGGCCCAGACUCCUACGGGAGGCAGCAGUGGGGAAUCUUGCACAAAUGGGCGAAAGCCUGAUGCAGCGACGCCGCGUGAGGGAUGACGGCCUU
rnacentral:rRNA from 1 species